AUGGACAGCGGCGGCAACAGGAGCGGCACUGCCGGGGGAGGGGACGGCGCGUGCAGCGGCGGCCACCUGUGCCACCUGUGCGGGUACAAGUACGCGAGCGCGCACCCCAGCGCCAAGCAGCGGCGCGCGCACCGCAAGAACUGCGGCGUUGGCGGCGGCGGCGGCGGCAAGUCGCCGCCCACCGCCGCCGCCGCCAGUGCGGAGGUGGAGGAAGAGCGCCAAGGCAAGAAGUUGGUGCUAGGUGAGGAUGUCGGAGGAGAGGGAAAUGGGGCGCCUGCUUCGGAUUCUGGCGGCGUUUUGCCCGGAUCUGCGGAGGAUGUUGGGAAUGCAGUAGAUGACGACGACACUGGAGUGCACUCUUCUCCUAAUACUGCCGGAGUUCACGUCAUUAUCAAUGAUGUCACUUCUGAAGGGCCUCCUAAGGCUAAUGGGACUGACGUUCAAACUGAAGUUGAUCUGCGGCUGCCUGAAAGCGCACCGCAUUUUCAAGAUUUGUAUCCGUCUGAAUCACAUUGUAGUGGUGAUCAGCAUCAGGAUGCUGAAUCACAUUGUAGUGGUGAUCAGCAUCAGGAUGCCUCCGCUUCCCAUUGUCAGCCAGAGCCUGAAGAUGGUGCAAGAUUCAGUCCAGACUUCUCUGCAGAUGAAACAAGCAAGUCAAAUGCCUCCGCUUCCCAUUGUCAGCCAGAGCCUGAAGAUGGUGCAAGAUUCAGUCCAGACUUCUCUGCAGAUGAAACAAGCAAGUCAAAUGCUGUGUCCCUGGCAUCAGAUGCUGCUUCAGGUGAAUUUUCUGCACAAACAAUUGCUACAGCUGGUAGCCCUGAUGGUAUUGCCGUUACUGAAAAUGAUUGUAUGAUCAACACCAUUGAAGAAGACAAAACUAGUGAGGGCAAGUCGGUAAAAGGUAAUGAGAUUGAUUCGUCCUAUCAAGAGAAGCUGCAAAGCAAAAUUGUUGAGGGGCAUAGUCCUACUGCAGUGGAGGAAGAUCUAUAUGUCAACGACUUAGGUGUGGUUCCCGGAGAGCAAAACCCCAGUGAAGACACUGAAUCCAAGGACGAAAGCGGGGUUAUCGAACCUAACCCAGUUGAGCAAGUUUGUACCAUCAAGGAACCUGUCGAUGUACUUGGGAAUAAGGAGCCUUCAACUGAUAAUAAUGUCCACACAGAUGAUACCAGUAGUGAUGAUUUAUCUCAACUUGCUUCUGGUGGUUGUCAUUUGGAGGCAGCAGAUGUUGUCGAAACACAGCAGCAAAUUGAUUCUACUUCUGUGGUAGCAUAUCAGCUGACAAAUUCCAAACAGACAUGCCUUGAAGAAGGGUCAAGCUAUCCUGGUGCAGAUGAGGUUCUCCAAGCUGUAUCAAGUGUAACAGAGUCUCCUGUGGAUAGUCUAGUUGAGGAGGUCAUAUCAGCUGGCAGUGCUUCUGAUGUUACAAAGAAAGAUACCUCCGAGGUGACAACAGAAGAUGACACACAGAAUAAUUCUAGCCAUACAAGUAAUGUCAUUUCCAUGCCAUCUCAAAUUGACCCAAUAGAGCCUAGCUUAGACCCUACUCAGGAGAUCAGUAUGAGUAGCAAGCAUGAUGUUGAUGAGAAUAAACAAAUUGAGAACGUAAGUGUGGACCUUACCUCCCGUGAGACUAACGAUGUAUGCAGUACGGAUAACAUUGAAGAGACUAAGCAGAUUGAAGAAAUUAGUGCAGAAGAGAGUACUCUGAAGACCAGCAUAUUACAGAGUGCAAGUAGUGUUGAGGAAAAAGAACAGAUUGAAGAGGUGAUAGCAGAUCCUGCUUCUGACAAUAUGGAUGUGAUAAGCAGCAGAGACAUAAUUGUGCAAAAGGAACAGAGUGCUGUCCAUGUGGGAACUGUUCAUGAGAUAAAUGUGGUGGAUAUCCCAGCUAUAGUUGAAUUAGAGAAGCACGGUGAAGAAAGUACCGCAGACCUCCCAGCUAUAGUUGAAUUAGAGAAGCACGGUGAAGAAACUACCGCAGACCCUACUGCUCAGAAGGCAAACAUUACAGAUGAAGUUGAAGAAAAGAAGCAAGAUGAAGAAAUUACGCCAGAUCCUGCUCCUCAUGCUAUCAAUGUGACACACGAAGACAAUAUGCAGAAUGAAGACAAGCCAGAGAUCCCUAGUUCUCACGAAAAUGUACUUGACGACACAGAUAUUGUUAAAGAAAAGGGUGAAGAAACUAUGUCAGAGCCAACCUCUCACAACACUGAUGCGGUAAGCAUUGUUGAUGCCAUUCAAGGAAAGGAGAAAGAAGAGGUAACUCCAGAAUCUACUCUUGAUGUUAGCUUGGUCCACACCAUUGACAAUGUCAAAGGAAAGGAGAGUGAAGAGCCUACUUCAGGCCCUACAUCCGUCAAUGCCGGAGGCAAUGCAGGUACUAUCCUUGUCGCGGACUCUAGUUCUCACAUGAACAGCACGCCACAGGGCACAAAUGAUGCCAAAGAAGAGGACCGGGAUGAAAAGGCUGCUGCGGACCAUGCUCGGACCGAUGGUGUUGAAGAAAAGAAGCAGAAGGAAGAGACUGCCGCAGAGACCAACACCAAGGAUAGCGCAAAUGACCAUCUGAAUGAAGAGAUCACAGACAAGGAAAUGACAAUAGAUUCAGAUAAGAGCCAUGUGUCCCUGAAGUCCCUUCUCUCCGAGAAAGGCAUUGAAUUUGAAGUUAAAGAAAAGAAGGCGAGCACCAAGGACCGAAUGCUGUCGUUCAGGCGCAGAUCGUCGAAGGACAACCCUUCGCCUACCAAGCCAGGUUCUGAGCAGCAAGACUGGAACUCUCCGGCCAGGCUACCGGUGGAGAAGUCGCCGAAAGGGAAGAAGCAGCAGUGGAUGCCGUUUAUUUGCUGCCACUCCAUGAACUGA
rnacentral:rRNA from 1 species